rnacentral:lncRNA from 1 species
UUUUACUUUUAUUACUUUUUCUUAACCCUACGCCCACUUUACCCAGUAAACAUAAUCGCUCUCCACAUCUCUCCCCUCUCUCUCAGCAUCGUCCCCUUCUUCUCUCUUUUUUACAAUUUUGCUUGUUUUUCUUCUUCUGUUUUCUUUCUCUUUCGUCUCUCUUCCUUCCUAAAAUCCACCCAUUUCUUUCCUCCUUUCUCUCGCCUUAAACCUAAUUGGGCAGUUUUUUCGGGCGGUAGAUCUGGAUGUUUUUCUCUUUUCUGGUCCUAAUGGUGCUUGUGAGUAAGAAUUUUUGUAUAGCAAUUGUUUAUACAUUGUGUAUCAGUAAAUAAACAUUGUGUAACAGUGAAAUUAACAUUGUAUAACACUGAUAUACUUAUGUAUAUUCUUUGUAUAAUAUGUGUAUAAUGUAUAAUUAAUGUAUGUAUAUUCAGCGCAUAAUUUAAGAAUAUACAUGAAGUAUGCACUGAGCAUACAAUGAUUACAUAAUUUAUACCCUGUGGCUAAUGGAGGCCAAAGAUAAAGAAGUUAAGAUAAUGGUAUUUAAGAGUUGCAAUUGGU